UACAGAGGUCUCAAGCGUUGUUCGGAUUCAUUGGGCGUAAAGGGUGCGUAGGCGGCGCGGUAAGUCGGAUGUGAAAUCUCGGGGCUUAACUCCGAAACUGCAUUCGAUACUACCGUGCUUGAGGACUGGAGAGGAGACUGGAAUUUACGGUGUAGCGGUGAAAUGCGUAGAUAUCGUAAGGAAGACCAGUGGCGAAGGCGGGUCUCUGGACAGUUCCUGACGCUGAGGCACGAAAGCGUGGGGAGCAAACAGG
rnacentral:rRNA from 1 species